UACGAAGGGGGCUAGCGUUGUUCGGAAUUACUGGGCGUAAAGCGCACGCAGGCGGCUCGAUAAAUUAGAAGUGAAAGCCCCGGGCUUAACCUGGGAAUUGCUUUUAAGACUGUCGGGCUAGAAUCCAGAAGAGGGUAGUGGAAUUCCGAGUGUAGAGGUGAAAUUCGUAGAUAUUCGGAAGAACACCAGUGGCGAAGGCGACUUCCUGGACAGAGACUGACACUGAGGCACGAAAGCGUGGGGAGCAAACAGG
rnacentral:rRNA from 1 species